GGGGGUCCUAAUACAUGCAAGUCGAGCGAAUGAUGAGGAGCUUGCUCCUCUGAUUUAGCGGCGGACGGGUGAGUAACACGUGGGUAAUCUGCCUGUAAGACGGGGAUAACUCCGGGAAACCGGGGCUAAUACCGGAUAAUAAAAAGAAACGCAUGUUUCUUUUUUGAAAGUCGGUUUCGGCUGACACUUACAGAUGAGCCCGCGGCGCAUUAGCUAGUUGGUGAGGUAACGGCUCACCAAGGCGACGAUGCGUAGCCGACCUGAGAGGGUGAUCGGCCACACUGGGACUGAGACACGGCCCAGACUCCUACGGGAGGCAGCAGUAGGGAAUCUUCGGCAAUGGGCGAAAGCCUGACCGAGCAACGCCGCGUGAGCGAUGAAGGCCUUAGGGUCGUAAAGCUCUGUUGUUAGAGAAGAACAUGUACGACAGUAACUGCUCCUACCUGGACAGUACCUAACCAGAAGGCCACGGCUAACUACUUGUCGGCAGCCGCGGGGAUACUUUGGUGUCAUGCGUUCUCCGUCAUAUUGUAUUACCGCCCUCGUGGCUGCU
rnacentral:rRNA from 1 species